UGCACCAGACUUCUGUGUCUUUUUGGCAUGGUUUUUACAGCUGGAUGCCCUUCCUAACACCAACCACCCCGCAGAAGUGGUCCGAGUGCUUUUUACGUGGCACCAGCACAUGUGAGGUCAGUUUUGACAUGGUUUUUACAGCUGGACGCCCUUCCAAAUGC